rnacentral:rRNA from 1 species
UAAUACGAANGGUGCGAGCGUUGCUCGGAAUUAUUGGGCGUAAAGGGUAGGUAGGUUGUCUCAUUUGUCUGGGGUGAAAGCCUUGAGCUUAACUCAAGAAGUGCCCCAGAAACGGUGAGACUAGAAUCUGUGAGAGGGUCGUGGAAUUCCCGGUGUAGCGGUGAAAUGCGUANAGAUCGGGAGGAACACCAGAGGCGAAGGCGGCGACCUGGAACAGUAUUGACACUCAACUACGAAAGCGUGGGUAGCAAACAGGAUUAGAUACCCUGGUAGUCCACGCCGUAAACGAUGGGUACUAGGUUUGGUGGGUCUUGACCCCCGCCGAACCGGAGCUAACGCAAUAAGUACCCCGCCUGGGAAGUACGGUCGCAAGACUAAAACUCAAAGGAAUUGACGGGGGCCCGCACAAGCGGUGGAUCAUGUGGUUUAAUUCGAAGCAACGCGAAAGAACCUUACCUGGGUUUNACAUCCCCUGACAAANGUAGAGAUACGCUUUUCGUAGCAAUACGACANGGAGACAGGUGCUGCNUGGCUGUCGUCAGCUCGUGUGGNGACAUGUUGGAUUAAGUCCCGCAACGAGCGCAACCCUUGUCCUUAGUUGCCAGCAUUUAGUUGGGCUCUCUAAGGAGACUGCCGUGGUGAACACGGAGGAAGGUGGGGAUGACGUCAAGUCCUCAUGGCCUUUAUAUCCAGGGCGACACACGUGAUACAAUAGACGGUACAGAGGGAAGCGAAACCGCGAGGUGGAGCCAAUCUCAAAAAGCCGUUCUCAGUUCGGAUUGGAGUCUGCAAUUCGACUCCAUGAAGUUGGAAUCGCUAGUAAUCGCGGAUCAGCACGCCGCGGUGAGUACGUUCCCGGGCCUUGNACACACCGCCCGUCACACCAUGGGAGCUGACUCAACCAGAAGACGGUCAGGGUAACCGUAAGGAGCCCUCCGGCGAAGGUGGGGUUGGUGACUGGGGUG